rnacentral:rRNA from 1 species
UGGGGAAUUUUGGACAAUGGGCGAAAGCCUGAUCCAGCAAUGCCGCGUGUGUAAAGAAGGCCUUCGGGUUGUAAAGCACUUUUGUCCGGAAAGAAAUCCUUGGCUCUAAUACAGUCGGGGGAUGACGGUACCGGAAGAAUAAGCACCGGCUAACUACGUGCCAGCAGCCGCGGUAAUACGUAGGGUGCAAGCGUUAAUCGGAAUUACUGGGCGUAAAGCGUGCGCAGGCGGUUUGCUAAGACCGAUGUGAAAUCCCCGGGCUCAACCUGGGAACUGCAUUGGUGACUGGCAGGCUAGAGUAUGGCAGAGGGGGGUAGAAUUCCACGUGUAGCAGUGAAAUGCGUAGAGAUGUGGAGGAAUACCGAUGGCGAAGGCAGCCCCCUGGGCCAAUACUGACGCUCAUGCACGAAAGCGUGGGGGAGCAAACAGGAUUAGAUACCCUGGUAGUCCACGCCCUAAACGAUGUCAACUAGUUGUUGGGGAUUCAUUUCCUUAGUAACGUAGCUAACGCGUGAAGUUGACCGCCUGGGGAGUACGGUCGCAAGAUUAAAACUUAAAGGAAUUGACGGGGUCAUAGCUGUUUCCU